CAAAUAUUUAAGUAUUUCUAUUAAAAAAAGAAUUUAUUCUUAUGAUUGUUAUUGUGUAUAUUGUGUUUAAAUAUUUAAAUAUGACUUUGUUUACAGACAAAACCCUGUGUGUGCUUCCACCCGGAAGUUGCAAAACAUAAGCCAAUGUGAUUUCAGUGUGAUUUCUUAAUGGUUCUGUGCAGUCUGUGAGUGCAGCCGUAUGAGGUUAAACUACGCUGAAAGCUGCUCUGAGGUGCUUCUGGAGUUUGUUCCUGUGCUAAAGUUCCAUCCAUCAUCAUACGGCACACUGCACAGUCAGAGACAGAGUAUGAGUUGGGAGGAUUUGUUGUCUAGGGCUUUCUGGAGUGUGACAGUGCUGUCGGUACCGGGGUGACAGACUUCUGAUCCAGGACCGAUGAUGAUCGUCGACCGACUGGAAAUUGGACACAUCAAUCCUUCUCAAACGGAUGAGUGUUCCUCUUUGACUCUGGUCCAUCUGACAUACAGCUUCCUGAGGAGCCAAGUGAAAAAAUCACAUUCAGAAUGGAUUUAUAGCGCUGUCGUCGUGUCCCUCUUCUAUUCCGGGCUGAAUGGAGAAGCAGGUAUCCUAGUUACAACAUGACUGAGCUAACUGGAGAGCCAUCCAAAAUCAUUUGGUGACACUGGCAAGCACGGUGAUACUGCUGGAGACGGAUGUCACUCUCUUCUGCAACAUGUAAAAAUUAGAGUGGAGAAAAAAAAUAGGAAUAAAGCUCUUGCUCAAUGCUGCAGAGAAAGAAGACCGCGCACUGGAAUGGCAGGAGAGGCCAGAGGCAAGAGGUCCUGUUGACCAAUACGGGUAUGUCAGGUGGGGCCCAGCAGAUUUGCAAGAGGGGGAGACCGAGGCAACAUUGGAGAAUAUAAAGAGGGAUCUGCUGAACAUCUACUCAGG